GCAUACGUUGAUAUACAUUUUUUUCUUCUUCUUUUAGUUUCUGUCGUGUGCUUCUGUCGGAUAUCUCAGCUGUGGAUACUUUGUCUUGCGCGAUCUCUGUUUCAAGGACAUGUGUGGAUAUAAAGCAAAACUUGGAAACAUUCUGAUUGGAUAAUGUCCGAACAUAUCCAAGAUUUAUUGAAGUUUCAAUAGAAAGUUUUCCUCAGCGAAAUAACAAAAACGUGUGAUAUCCUAAGAAGGUUUUCCAGUUAACCCCUGGGACUUUCAUUAAACAGAGUUCAGUGUGUGUGUGUGCGAGUUAGUGGUGAAUAAUUCGGUCACCCAGGGCCAGAGAAACAAAUCUAGUGGUCAUGUGACCACCAAGACGCCCUGCUCACGAGAUCUAGCCAGUGAGAUGAGCCCACCCGUGAUGGCGCGUGUUGAGGAGGUCGGAUGACACCCCAGAGAUGAACCUCAGAUCACGACACCUAGACGUCUGGCUCACCUUCUUCCUAGUCACCAUCACCUUCAGGUUCGAGUCUCAUUCUGCGGUUGCUCAGUUGGGCUACUUUGAGCUCAGAUUGCUGUCUUUAAAUCUACCGCUCGUCUCACUCUACCAUCGUAUGAUUCCGCCUGAAACAAAGAAGGGCGCUCUGUCUCCUUGCGCCGAGGACUUAGGCCUGGCGGUCACCGCGUGUCUGUCACACCACCAGCUCCCCCUGCCCAGGAAGGUGGAGUGUACGCUCGGGCAUAACCGGACAACGCUCAGGGUACCGCUGGAGGAGGACCUUUUGGUGCUGCCCUUCUCAUUCUCUUGGCCAGUAAGUUUUUUGUUUCUUUCUUACUUCAAUAAAAGUCUUACAAAUGUCACUGUUGGUCAUCUCAUAAGUCUAGGUUUGGUAUACUAGUAUUUAUUUCU
rnacentral:sRNA from 1 species